rnacentral:rRNA from 1 species
GUCUACGGCCACGCCACCCUGAACGCGCGCGAUCCCGUCUGAUCUCGGAAGCUAAGCAGGGUCGGGCCUGGUUAGUACUUGGAUGGGAGACCGCCAAGAAGACCAGGUGCUGGAGGCG